rnacentral:rRNA from 1 species
CUCUCCCCCAUUCAUCUCAACCCGGAGAGAAUGGAUACCAUCUCCUGGAAGCUAAUGAAUGAUGGCCAAUACUCCGCUGCAUCGGCAUAUGAGGUCCAGUUCAGGAGCUUAGUUGACACGGAACUCGUGCAAACGGUCUGGAAGAAUUGGGCUCGUCCAAAAUGCAAGUUUUUCGCUUGGCUUGUCAUCAACAACAGGGUUUGGCCGGCAGGCCGGCUGCAGCGACAGGGAUGGCCUAAUUGCAAGCUUUGCCCCAUUUGUAAACAAGUCCAAGAAUCAGCGGGACACCUUCUCUUUCAAUGCAGAUACACAGCUAGAUUUGGGCUUUGA